GGCCCUAUAGGCAAGCGGUCAAGCCGUCAGCCCUUCAAGCUGAAGUCCCGGGUUCGACUCCCGGUAGGGCUACCA
rnacentral:tRNA from 1 species